GCUUGUCUCAAAGAUUAAGCCAUGCAUGUCUAAGUAUAAACGAUUUUAUACGUGAAACUGCGAAUGGCUCAUUAUAUCAGUUAUAGUUUAUUUGAUGGUCCUUACUACUUGGAUAACCGUAGUAAUUCUAGAGCUAAUACAUGCAUCAAGCCCUGACUUCGGAAGGGGUGUAUUUAUUAGAUGGAAACCAAUGCGGGGCAACCCGGAAAAUGGUGAUUCAUAAUAACUAUACGAAUCGCACGGCCUUGCGCCGGCGAUGGUUCAUUCAAAUUUCUUCCCUAUCAACUUUCGAUGUUUGGGUAUUGGCCAAACAUGGUUGCAACGGGUAACGGAGGGUUAGGGCUCGACCCCGGAGAAGGAGCCUGAGAAACGGCUACUACAUCCAAGGAAGGCAGCAGG
rnacentral:rRNA from 1 species